GUCCCUGUAGCGCAAUAGAGGGCACAUUGGACUUCUAAUCCAAAGGUUGUGGAUUCGAAUCCCACCUGGGAUG